AGCGUUUUAAUCACUCCAUAACCUUAAGCUAGACGCUUUUAAAAGGUGGUUCGCCUUUUAAACUAAGAAACAAGAACUCUUGAAACUAUCUCAAGGUUUUAGAAAGUUGGACCAGAGCUAGUUUUAAGGCUAAAAAACUAACCAAUUUUCUAAGCAUUGUAGAAGUUUGUGUUUAGGACAAGAUUUUUGGACUGGGGUUCGAUUCCCCACAGCUCCACCA
rnacentral:tmRNA from 1 species